rnacentral:misc_RNA from 1 species
UUUCCGUAGGUGAACCUGCGGAAGGAUCAUUACCGAGUUAGGGUCCUCUGGGCCCGACCUCCCAACCCUUUGUCAAAAAUACCACUUGUUGCUUCGGCGGGCCCGUCUUCACCGAUCGCCGGGGGACCGUUAAAACGUCCUCUGGCCCGCGCCCGUCGAUAGCCCCAACCACAAAACUCUUGAACAAAACGUGUCCACGUCUGAGUAAAACAUUGCAAAUAAAGCAAAAACUUUCAACAACGGAUCUCUUGGUUCUGGCAUCGAUGAAGAACGCAGC